GAUGAACGCUAGCUACAGGCUUAACACAUGCAAGUCGCAGGGUAACAUGAGGAAAGCUUGCUUUCCUUGAUGACGACUGGCGCACGGGUGAGUAACGCGUAUCCAACCUUCCCAUAACUACGGGAUAACCCGUUGAAAGACGGCCUAAUACCGUAUGAUAUCGUUUGCUGACAUCAAAUAACGAUUAAAGGUUUAGCGGUUAUGGAUGGGGAUGCGUCUGAUUAGCUUGUUGGCGGGGUAACGGCCCACCAAGGCGACGAUCAGUAGGGGUUCUGAGAGGAAGGUCCCCCACAUUGGAACUGAGACACGGUCCAAACUCCUACGGGAGGAAGCAGUGAGGAAUAUUGGUCAAUGGGCGAGAGCCUGAACCAGCCAAGUAGCGUGCAGGAUGACGGCCCUAUGGGUUGUAAACUGCUUUUAUGUGGGGAUAAAGUGCGUGACGUGUCAUGCAUUGCAGGUACCACAUGAAUAAGGACCGGCUAAUUCCGUG
rnacentral:rRNA from 1 species